GCUGUUUCGUUACUACAAGAAGUAACUAUACUAGAACCUAAAUGGACAGUGUGCGGUUUAAGACGAAUUUCCUCCCGGGGCCCCUCCGGCUGUGGAAUGAGCACCCUGCCGAGGUUUUCCCAAGGAUCUACAGUAUGGGGUUCUUCAAAAAGGAGUGUACAGGCUGCGGUGACUGCUUAGCAUAAGGCGAGACGUUUACUUUGUUUGCCACCGACGUGGUAUAAAAACCAAACUGGAGUGCUUGGUUACUUUUUCUUCAGUGUAUGAUAUCUAUUUCAGUUUAGGUACAUAUCUUAAAUUAAAGUUGCCUCAUAAUAAUCUUACACGCAAUGAAAAUUAUAUCCCUAUUGUAUCUCACAUUGGAUAUGGAAUCGCACGUCGCUGCAUAAGGCGUCUCGCUCACACACCUCAGCAGCGUGAGGAUCACAACAGUGUGUGAUAACCGUAUUACUAACUGUUGCUCUAAAUUCAUUAAUUUCUAUUGAAUACAGUUAGGCAGCGUUUCCACCAGACAUGUGCGAGGAUGCGUAGCAAGGGAUUGGCCUCUUAAUAACCAAUAGUAUCACUUCACGCUGAGCAAGGAUAUGUAAAAGAAGUGAUUCUAUUGGUUCUUAAAAAACACAUCCUCGCACAUCUCUGGUGGAAACACAGCUUUAGGAUAACACCAAAUAUUAUAGUUAUUGUUAAGGCGAUACACCUACCAUUGUUUUAUUUUAAUGAAUGCUCUAUAAAAUAGCCCCAGCUAAUUCCAUUAUUUUGCUUUUGAAAUGGCUGUCAGUAAAGCGUAAUUAAUUGUAGACGCGGCGUCAAGUCUAAGAAAUACCCGUGCUUCGAAAUUGACAGCUGAAAUAGAUGCGGCGUGUAGCUCCGCGCAUUAAUAAAUAACUAAUAUUAUAGGACAAUUUCACACUGGUGGUCCGAUAGUAACCUCAAUAAGGCUUGUGUUACAUUACACGGUAACUCUGGCUAACUUGUAAAAAGUUGGCGUUAGACAAUGCAGCUUAUCACAUACAUGUAGGUAUCUAGUUCGGUUGUAAAACUCAGGGGCCCUUUUUUUUCUUAGAAACUUCAUAAAUAUCAAUAACGUUUUUCUGAUAGCAAAUGUGUUUUGUGAUUAAUUAAAAACCGGCUAAGUGCGAGUCGAACUCGACACAAUCUCGAUUUUUACUUAAUUAUAGGUUAUUCUAGUAGUUUUUCUAAAAUAACUUCAAAAUGAUCUACCCUAAAAUUAUGAAAAUGAAAAUUUGCUCUAACUGUCUACUAGUUUAGGAGCAAAUGGGUUGUGAUAGACACUAAUAAUCCUAUAAGGCUUCCGUUUUUUCCUUUAAAGGUAGGUACGGAACCCUAAAUAUAAAGUUAAAUCCCUGUCUAAACCUUGUUCAGCAUAACUAUUCCCUUAGCACCGCUGCAUACGAAUAUAAAAUAGGCAACAUAGCCAUAUUCAAAUUAAAAUAGUUAAUUAACGUUCAAUAUCAGGAAACGUGGUGAAGAGAGGCUGAAAAUUGUGAAGCAUAAACCCAGUGUUCUCACCCGCCGUAUGUCGGGGCGUUUGAAUAUUUCAUGUUCGAUAAUUUAUUGCAUGAUUUACUACGGAGGGUACUUUGCAGGUUAGGAUAUAUGCACACGUUUUCACGCUCGCUAAUGAUACUGAGGAAUCGGAGCGUGCGGGGUGAUUGGAAAAGGAUUCCGAUGUCGUUUUGUUAGUGUUUGAAGCCAAAGAUUGAUUCUUAGUGCCAUUUCAUUUUGUUGACUACAAUAUCUAUGUAAUUUUUAAAGUCUUCUGACUGGAAAGAAACGGGUAUCAAUGGAGAUUUGGUACAAACAGCGUUGCGUCAUAUACUAAUUACAAUCAGGGUGCGUAUAGCCAACAUGCCAAUGGAUUCGUCUUCGUAGUGAACGAAACGAAACUGUCACUGUCGCACGAAUAUGGAAGAGUGAUAGAGAGACACAAACCGUAGUGAACGAAACGAAACUGUCACUGUCGCACGAAUAUGGAAGAGUGAUAGAGAGACACAAAGCGUUUCGUUGUCGUAGCGCAAGAGAUUGUUACCUUGGCUUGGCACCUAAGUCAGCUCCAAAAUGGCAAAUAAGUAAGUAUAUUUACUGUGGUGAAUUUUAAUAUUUUAUGGGUUAUGUUUUUGUUUUUUUUUUUUAUGGAGGAUAGGCAGGCGUUUGACCACGAUCACACCUGAUGGUAAGUGAUGAUGCGGUCUACGGUGGAGCACGCUUACCUAUGAGAUACCUAUUUACUCUAGCCUUGAAGAGAUUCAGAUUGUACUCAUACGGAAACACAGACUCGUUUUUUGUGUAUCUGUUUUGACGAUCAUAAUAUGAAUUCUUGUAGAUUGACAUGCCUGCAAUUUAUAAUGUAAUCUGUAUUAUGAAAUAAAUAAAUCUAAAUCUAAAAGUUUAUUUGCAAACUAUUCUGAGGUACCUAUACCUUGUACAAGCUCAGAUUCCUACCUACUUUGUCUUAUUUUCACGUGCCUCCUAGCCACUACUGUAUCAAAGCAUUGUACUUGGCAAAAGCGGGUUAUUACUACACGUAAGAGUUGCACGAUUGUACCGAUAAAGAGGAUCAAAUGUUACAACUGUCCCCUGUCGAGAUGUCCGACGUGGCCCGCUUCUACAACCGCUACCCCGACGUCGAGCUAAAUACAUUUAACUUGUAUUAACUAACUUGUAAAAACUUCAUACUUACUGAAGUUACUUACGCACUGCGACAACUGUUUCCAAUUCUGCUCAGUUGUGAUUGUUAGGCGCCCAGCCUAUCCUUCUUAAAUUGGUUGCAUUUCAUGUUGAACGGCCCCCUCAUGAAAUUUACAUACGGAAAUAGUGUAGUUUGCUUUGAUUGAGUGCGUACUCAAUUUCUGUCACUUGAAUGCUUUCGUUUAUCGACAAAGAUUUUAGCUCAAAUUGACUAGAUAUUCUCAAACGUUUUAUUACGUAAGCUUUAGUGGUAGUUGACUUUGCUUUAGUUUAUCCUCAAGGACACAACUUAUUGGAAUCCGAGUGGACUUAUCUUUGUAUUGUAGUUUCUAUAUCUUUAUCUGUUCAAUUAAAUAUUUCGAGAAUUCUGUUAAACAUAUUACAUGAAAAACGGAUUAUAUGGACAUAUAUGAGGGCAUAAUUUUAAUACGCCAAUGAUUUAAUGUCAUCAAAAAUAACCGCACGCCUAAUUACUUCAUCGAAAUUAAUUAAAAUGCAGAAAAUGAUGACCGCGGACGCUGUUUAUUUUGCUUAAUAAUGUAAAAUUACCAUUACUAACAGUAAUUUACCGUAGUUAUUGGAAAUUGAAUUAUGUUUAUUGCGUAAGUAUAGGUACUUGUAAAAAUAUAUUAAUAAAAAUAAGAGAUACCUUUUAAGUUUUUCGACAGUUCCUUUCUAAUUUGAACACAGAAUUUUACCUUUAUUUAUUGGAUGUUUUUUUACUUUAUACCUAAGUUAACUAGGUUAUAAUCUAAAAAUAUACCUUCAUACGAGGUAUACAUGAGGUAUACCUCGUAUAUGUACAUGAGGCACCAGGAAGAGUUAAUAAUAUUUUUCCUAAUCAAACCCAUGGUUAAGGACAUAAAAUACUGCCUUUGCGCACGAUUUGGCAUUCUUUAAUUACUUAUCUAAAUUGAGGCGUACCUAAAUUACAAUCGCCAUAAGGUUUCAUUUAAUGGUUAUAACGUGUGAACGCUGUAUACCCUCAGAUAAGUCGGUCCCUCAUUACUGAGGGUCGUGACUUGGUCGAUCUAGCAUGGAUAGUAUUCUUCAACUUCGGUCGGCUGACUAUUUUGAGGAUUUUUUUGUAGAAACUCUCCGACGUCUCUUUGCAGACUUUUCCGCGUUGUUUGGUCGUUGUAUGAGCCAUAAUUACUAAUAUCUCGCAAAAUACAUGCAGCGGUCAAUGUAAUUAUUUUAUUAUGAUAAAUCGUUAAUAUCUCUUUCUUCUUAAGUGAAUCCUUCGAAGACCCAAGUCAUCAUCAUUGGCAGUAGCAAACUAAUUCCCAGAGUAGAUCUUGCGAAUCUUGCCCCCAUAUACUUUGAUGGUAUCCAGAUUCGACGACCGGUUUGGCCUAGUGGGUAGUGACCCUGCCUACGAAGCUGAUGGUCCCGGGUUCAAAUCCUGGUAAGGGCAUUUAUUCGUGUGAUGAGCAUGGAUAUUUGUUCCUGAGUCAUGGGUGUUUUCUAUGUAUUUAAGAAUUUAUAAAUAUUUAUAUAUUAUAUA